rnacentral:rRNA from 1 species
UGGGGGAUAUUGCACAAUGGGCGAAAGCCUGAUGCAGCGACGCCGCGUGGGGGAUGAAGGCCUUCGGGUUGUAAACUUCUUUUGCUCUGAACAAGGCGCACCAUGGGGUGUGUUGAGUGUAGGGGUUGAUUAGCGCCGGCUAACUACGUGCCAGCAGCCGCGGUAAUACGUAGGGCGCGAGCGUUGUCCGGAAUUAUUGGGCGUAAAGGGCUUGUAGGUGGCUGGUUGCGUCUGUCGUGAAAGCUCAUGGCUUAACUGUGGGUUUGCGGUGGGUACGGGCUGGCUUGAGUGCAGUAGGGGAGGCUGGAAUUCCUGGUGUAGCGGUGGAAUGCGCAGAUAUCAGGAGGAAUACCGGUGGCGAAGGCGGCCCCCUGGACAAAGACUGACGCUCAGGUGCGAAAGCGUGGGGAGCAAACAGG